CCUACGGGUGGCUGCAGUGGGGAAUAUUGGACAAUGGGGGCAACCCUGAUCCAGCCAUGCCGCGUGUGUGAAGAAGGCCCUCGGGUUGUAAAGCACUUUCAGUGAGGAAGAACGCCUGGUGGUUAAUACCCAUCAGGAAAGACAUCACUCACAGAAGAAGCACCGGCUAACUCCGUGCCAGCAGCCGCGGUAAUACGGAGGGUGCGAGCGUUAAUCGGAAUUACUGGGCGUAAAGCGCGCGUAGGUGGCUUGAUAAGCCGGUUGUGAAAGCCCCGGGCUCAACCUGGGAACGGCAUCCGGAACUGGCAAGCUAGAGUGCAGGAGAGGAAGGUAGAAUUCCCGGUGUAGCGGUGAAAUUCGUAGAGAUCCGGAGGAAUACCAGUGGCGAAGGCGGCCUUCUGGACUGACACUGACGCUGAGGUGCGAAAGCGUGGGUAGCAAACAGGAUUAGAUACCCGUGUAGUC
rnacentral:rRNA from 1 species